CAAACAGUUUCCACCGUUCAUAACAAAAAAAUCCUCUCUCUCCAUGUCCGCCGCUUCUGUAUUCCUUCUGUCCUUUCCUUUUUCCAUGACCAGUGGACGUUCCCGAUUCAUCCAACUCUCCCGAGUUACUCAUUUCCGAUCUUUUACUAACCGUUUUUUCUUCUUCCUCCUCCUCUUCUUUCAGCGCCGCCGCCUUGUUAACCGGAUCGGGAUCUUGAUAAGCCUCAACCAUUUUAUCUCCGUCGUGAUCGGUGACUUUAUCGACGGAGGCUGUAGAGUUGGACUCGUUCAUCGACCUAUUGUCGUCCCGGUCAGACUCCGUCGUUUCCCGGUUAAGCUUCGCCGGUUUAGUUUCGUCGUUUUCCAGAUCUGGUUUAUUGUCUACAUCAUCUCCGUCUUUCUCGAAAAUGAGUUUUAUGCUGUCUAUGUCAAUUCAAAGCAGAGGAAUCAUCUACGGGUAGCUAAAGAAGUACGAGCAAAAUGAGUUUUAUGCUGACAUGCUCGAAAAUGAGUUUUAUGCUGGUUCUUACAAGAUCCCUUUUGUAUGGAGAUAUCUCGACAAAGAACAGCUCAUAUGCUCGCCUUACUAAGAUUGAAUCAUUCCAAACCUUUUUGCUACUGUAGAUGCCGAGGAGCUAUCUGGUUCAAGUACUACGGAGGUUUGGUGUGUGUGUUUAGUUCUGAGAUUGAAUUUUGUAUUUGGUAAGCUUCUUACUAAAGUGCUGUUGUGUUUGGUCUCUGAGCUUUUUACUUCUGUGUUAUGUUUGUAGUGCAGGGAAACCGGAUUGGAUCUUCGAAUCGUAAACACGCUUUUGGAUCCUCUCAAUGGAGAACUCAGCCAUUUAUAUUUGUGGACAACUUCUCCCAGUGCCCCCAUGCAUGGUUCUCCAUAACCCUUUCAAAUCUCCACCGAGAUACCUCUUGUAUGGAGAUAUCUCGACGAAUGCAGCUCAUAUGCUCGCUUACCUAAGGUAAGGAUUAUUACACCAUUUAAAUUUGUGUUCCGUAGAUGCCAAGGAGGGCGCUCAUCCUGCUGAAGUCCAGAGCUUUGUGCAGGUAAAGUGGAGUGGAUCUUCUAACCACAACACGCUUUUGUUUCCUAUAAAUUUUGUAAAGCGUUGCACAUUAUUAUUAUACCAUCACGUUUACACUCUUUAAAGAUAGUUCGUGACUAUGAUCAGUUCGAGAUGAAUUGUACUUGGGUAUGUAAAACAUUGAUAUGUCUAUUUUCAAAGUUAUGGCUGAUUUACGUUGAAAUUA